GUUCUGCUUUGGCAGAACAUAUACUAAAAGUGGAACCAAUACAGAGAAGAUUUGUAUGGCCCCUGUGCAAGGAUGACAUGUGAAUUUGUGAGGUGUUCCAUAUUUAU